GCUGAGCUCCCCCCCCGCCGGCGGCAGCCCCCAGCCCGGCCCCGCAGCGGAGGCGGCCGGCCCGGCCGCGGACCCCCGCUCGCCGACGCCCGGCAUCUCGCGCACGCCCAUGAAGGACGCGCUGAGCGACAGCGUGGAGCGCCUGGUGAAGCAGCUCAGCGAGGCCUUCGGCGUCCAGACCGAGCCGCCGGCAGCCGCACGGCCCCGCCAGGAGCCGGCAGCAGCUCCCGGGAGAGAGGCGGAGCGGCCCCCAUCGCCCGGAGGGUGCUGCGAGGCCACCCCGCGGGCCCCACGCCCCGCCGGGACGGCUCCGGCCGCGGGAAGCAAGUAUGCAAGACGUAAGGCUGGCAACAAAAUCAUGGUAACAUCUGGAGGAAAUGGCCGAUCUCCCUUCAGUGUCCUACAAGAUGAUAAUUCCCCCAGUGCUUCUGCCCCUCGCCAGGUUAAGAGGCAUGUGUUGGGAGAGAACCUUGGGGAGAAGGAAACAGCGGCAGCAGAUCUGAGCAGGAACCUCAAAGCUGGGAACUGUCCUUGGAGUGACUUGAACAAAGAGAACCAACAGUGUCCUUUUGUGGAGAACUAG
rnacentral:lncRNA from 1 species